rnacentral:rRNA from 1 species
GCGAGGAGGAGCAAAUCUGAAAAAAGACGUCCCUAGUUCGGAUUGUAGGCUGAAACUCGCCUACAUGAAGUCGGAAUCGCUAGUAAUCGCGGAUCAGCAUGCCGCGGUGAAUACGUUCCCGGGCCUUGUACACACCGCCCGUCACACCAUGAGAGUUUGUAACACCCAAAGCCGGUGGGGUAACCUUUUGGAGCCAGCCGUCUAAGGUGGGACAGAUGAUUGGGGUGAAGUCGUAACAAGGUACC